UUGGGCGUAAGGGCUCGCAGGCGGUUUCUUAAGUCUGAUGUGAAAGCCCCCGGCUCAACCGGGGAGGGUCAUUGGAAACUGGGGAACUUGAGUGCAGAAGAGGAGAGUGGAAUUCCACGUGUAGCGGUGAAAUGCGUAGAGAUGUGGAGGAACACCAGUGGCGAAGGCGACUCUCUGGUCUGUAACUGACGCUGAGGAGCGAAAGCGUGGGGAGCGAACAGGAUUAGAUACCCUGGUAGUCCACGCCGUAAACGAUGAGUGCUAAGUGUUAGGGGGUUUCCGCCCCUUAGUGCUGCAGCUAACGCAUUAAGCACUCCGCCUGGGGAGUACGGUCGCAAGACUGAAACUCAAAGGAAUUGACGGGGGCCCGCACAAGCGGUGGAGCAUGUGGUUUAAUUCGAAGCAACGCGAAGAACCUUACCAGGUCUUGACAUCCUCUGACGAUCCUAGAGAUAGGACGUCCCCUUCGGGGGCACAGUGACAGGUGGUGCAUGGUUGUCGUCAGCUCGUGUCGUGAGAUGUUGGGUUAAGUCCCGCAACGAGCGCAACCCUUGAUCUUAGUUGCCAGCAUUCAGUUGGGCACUCUAAGGUGACUGCCGGUGACAAACCGGAGGAAGGUGGGGAUGACGUCAAAUCAUCAUGCCCCUUAUGACCUGGGCUACACACGUGCUACAAUGGACAGAACACAGGGCAGCGAAACCGCGAGGUUAAGCCAAUCCCACAAAUCUGUUC
rnacentral:rRNA from 1 species